UGAGGAAUAUUGGUCAAUGGACGCAAGUCUGAACCAGCCAUGCCGCGUGCAGGAUGACGGCUCUAUGAGUUGUAAACUGCUUUUGUACGAGGGUAAACGCAGAUACGUGUAUCUGUCUGAAAGUAUCGUACGAAUAAGGAUCGGCUAACUCCGUGCCAGCAGCCGCGGUAAUACGGAGGAUUCAAGCGUUAUCCGGAUUUAUUGGGUUUAAAGGGUGCGUAGGCGGUUUGAUAAGUUAGAGGUGAAAUUUCGGGGCUCAACCCUGAACGUGCCUCUAAUACUGUUGAGCUAGAGAGUAGUUGCGGUAGGCGGAAUGUAUGGUGUAGCGGUGAAAUGCUUAGAGAUCAUACAGAACACCGAUUGCGAAGGCAGCUUACCAAACUAUAUCUGACGUUGAGGCACGAAAGCGUGGGGAGCAAACAG
rnacentral:rRNA from 1 species